UAAGGAAUAUUGGACAAUGGAGGCAACUCUGAUCCAGCCAUGCCGCGUGAAGGAAUAAGGCCCUAUGGGUUGUAAACUUCUUUUAGACGGGACAAAACCCCUUUACGUGUAAAGGGUUGAUGGUACUGUCAGAAUAAGCAUCGGCUAACUUCGUGCCAGCAGCCGCGGUAAUACGAAGGAUGCAAGCGUUAUCCGGAAUUAUUGGGUUUAAAGGGUGCGUAGGCGGACUAAUAAGUCAGUGGUGAAAGCCUGCAGCUUAACUGCGGAAUUGCCAUUGAUACUGUUAUUCUUGAGUACAGUUGAGGUAGGCGGAAUGUGUCAUGUAGCGGUGAAAUGCUUAGAUAUGACACAGAACACCGAUUGCGAAGGCAGCUUGCUAAGCUGUAACUGACGCUGAGGCACGAAAGCGUGGGGAGCAAACA
rnacentral:rRNA from 1 species